AAAACAACAAAACAGCAGAAGCACAGGAGGCAGCAGAGAGAGUCUACCGCUUGGGUGUCUGCAGAUGGCCAAGAAAAUGAAGAGCCAAGGAUGUAUAUUGGCUCCCUGCCUAUUCAACCUUUUCAUCAGCGACAUGCGAGCACCCCUAGUUAACUCAUCUCCAAGUACACACGCGCCUAGACUAGCGGAUUACCGCUGCCCACUCCUUUUAUAUGCGGACGACGCGGUAAUUCUAUCUUAUACACGUGUUGGACUAACCAGAGCUCUGAAGAUCUUUGCCACGUAUUGCCAACUCAACCAAUUAACCAUCAACCAUGCUAAGUCCAAGAUUCUGAUUUUCUCCAGAAGCCGGAGAUUAUACAAAUGGAAGCUUGGUGGAGCAAAAAUAGAGCAAGUCCUAAAAUUUCAAUAUCUAGGAGUUAUUUUUCAAUACAACUUGGGAUGGAAAGCUCAAAUUCAACACCUACUUAACAAGGCCAAAACCCUGUCAUAUGCGCUCCUCCGAUUUUUCUUUUCGGACGGAGCUCUGCAUGUUCCCUCGGCCCUAAAGGUGUUCAAGGCAAAAGUGGUUGCAGUGCUUGCUUAUGCUGCCCCGCUCUGGGCCGUGAUGACAGACCUUGCUCCCCUUGAGACUCUGCAAAGCCAAUUCCUACGUCGGCUCCUAAUGCUCCCCCUGUGCGUAAGCAACGCAGCCAUGCGACUAGAAUUGAAGAUCGCAUCCUUAGAAACUUGCCUGUGGAAGCAAGUCUUCAAUUACUGGUUAUCAUUGUGGCAUAGAUUACCAAACCAUUACCUUGUCCAAUGCUUAUGGCGAGAUGAAUUCUCCAGCCUUUGGACUAGUAAAAUUCAUGCCAAACUCCUGAGCUAUGGAAUCUCUCCCUCAGAUUCCCUAAAACUAGACCAAAUCACUGCUCAAAGACUGAUCCGUCAAAGACUGGAUGACAUCGACUUACAGCAAAAUUAUAUGCUGGGGGGAGGUGUUUGUUCGCCCCAGAACAUUGGUAUCACUUUAACUUAUUGCGUUCCAUCAUACCUCUCCUCCCUUUCGACUGUUGCCCAUAGACUGGCCUUCACCAAAGCGAGGUUCAACGUUUUCCCCUCCAAUGUCCUGAGACAUAGAUUCUCAAAGGGCCAAGACCCCGCCACGUGCGAAUGUGAUAAGGUGACGCCGGAGUCGCUUCAGCACAUUAUGUUCACUUGCCCCUUGUUCAAUGUGCCACGGGCAAAUUUGUUGGGAUCAAUCAUACAGAAACUAGAGGGUACCCCACCAAAAUUCCACCUUGCCCAAAUCUUGCAGGACAAGGAUUCCCACACGACCCUGAAAGUGGCUAGGUUCCUGGUCGCUGUCCUCUCCCAAAAGCGACGCCAAGGAGCGCUACAAGCUAAUUAAGGCGUAGCAUGCCUUUCCAUUUUAUAGUAUUUUAUUGUUAUAGUGGUGUUUUAGCGACUGUUUUUUUUUCUUUUUCUUUUCCCCCACGGCACAAGCUGUCACUUAUGUGUUGUUUUUACCUGUAUGGGCCUAUGGCCGCAAUAAAUAUUAUCUAAGAGCCAUCUGCA
ensembl:lncRNA